rnacentral:rRNA from 1 species
GGUUAAGUUAGAAAGGGCGCACGGUGGAUGCCUUGACACUAGGAGUCGAUGAAGGACGGGACUAACGCCGAUAUGCUUCGGGGAGCUGUAAGUAAGCUUUGAUCCGAAGAUUUCCGAAUGGGGAAACCCACCAUACGUAAUGGUAUGGUAUCCUUAUCUGAAUACAUAGGGUAAGGAAGACAGACCCAGGGAACUGAAACAUCUAAGUACCUGGAGGAAGAGAAAGCAAAUGCGAUUUCCUGAGUAGCGGCGAGCGAAACGGAACAUAGCCCAAACCAAGAGGCUUGCCUCUUGGGGUUGUAGGACAUUCUAUACGGAGUUACAAAGGAACGAGGUAGACGAAGCGACCUGGAAAGGUCCGUCGUAGAGGGUAACAACCCCGUAGUCGAAACUUCGUUCUCUCUUGAAUGUAUCCUGAGUACGGCGGAACACGUGAAAUUCCGUCGGAAUCUGGGAGGACCAUCUCCCAAGGCUAAAUACUCCCUAGUGAUCGAUAGUGAACCAGUACCGUGAGGGAAAGGUGAAAAGCACCCCGGAAGGGGAGUGAAAGAGAUCCUGAAACCGUGUGCCUACAAAUAGUCAGAGCCCGUUAACGGGUGAUGGCGUGCCUUUUGUAGAAUGAACCGGCGAGUUACGAUCCCGUGCAAGGUUAAGCUGAAGAGGCGGAGCCGCAGCGAAAGCGAGUCUGAAUAGGGCGUUUAGUACGUGGUCGUAGACCCGAAACCAGGUGAUCUACCCAUGUCCAGGGUGAAGUUCAGGUAACACUGAAUGGAGGCCCGAACCCACGCACGUUGAAAAGUGCGGGGAUGAGGUGUGGGUAGCGGAGAAAUUCCAAUCGAACCUGGAGAUAGCUGGUUCUCCCCGAAAUAGCUUUAGGGCUAGCCUUAAGUGUAAGAGUCUUGGAGGUAGAGCACUGAUUGGACUAGGGGUCCUCAUCGGAUUACCGAAUUCAGUCAAACUCCGAAUGCCAAUGACUUAUCCUUAGGAGUCAGACUGCGAGUGAUAAGAUCCGUAGUCAAAAGGGAAACAGCCCAGACCGCCAGCUAAGGUCCCAAAGUGUGUAUUAAGUGGAAAAGGAUGUGGAGUUGCUUAGACAACUAGGAUGUUGGCUUAGAAGCAGCCACCAUUUAAAGAGUGCGUAAUAGCUCACUAGUCGAGUGACUCUGCGCCGAAAAUGUACCGGGGCUAAAUACACCACCGAAGCUGCGGAUUGAUACCAAUGGUAUCAGUGGUAGGGGAGCGUUCUAAGGACAGUGAAGUCAGACCGUAAGGACUGGUGGAGUGCUUAGAAGUGAGAAUGCCGGUAUGAGUAGCGAAAGACGGGUGAGAAUCCCGUCCACCGAAUGCCUAAGGUUUCCUGAGGAAGGCUCGUCCGCUCAGGGUUAGUCAGGACCUAAGCCGAGGCCGACAGGCGUAGGCGAUGGACAACAGGUUGAUAUUCCUGUACCACCUCUUUAUCGUUUGAGCAAUGGAGGGACGCAGAAGGAUAGAAGAAGCGUGCGAUUGGUUGUGCACGUCCAAGCAGUUAGGCUGAUAAGUAGGCAAAUCCGCUUAUCGUGAAGGCUGAGCUGUGAUGGGGAAGCUCCUUAUGGAGCGAAGUCUUUGAUUCCCCGCUGCCAAGAAAAGCUUCUAGCGAGAUAAAAGGUGCCUGUACCGCAAACCGACACAGGUAGGCGAGGAGAGAAUCCUAAGGUGUGCGAGAGAACUCUGGUUAAGGAACUCGGCAAAAUGACCCCGUAACUUCGGGAGAAGGGGUGCUUUCUUAACGGAAAGCCGCAGUGAAUAGGCCCAAGCGACUGUUUAGCAAAAACACAGCUCUCUGCGAAGCCGUAAGGCGAAGUAUAGGGGGUGACACCUGCCCGGUGCUGGAAGGUUAAGGAGAGGGGUUAGCGUAAGCGAAGCUCUGAACUGAAGCCCCAGUAAACGGCGGCCGUAACUAUAACGGUCCUAAGGUAGCGAAAUUCCUUGUCGGGUAAGUUCCGACCCGCACGAAAGGUGUAACGAUUUGGGCACUGUCUCAACCAGAGACUCGGUGAAAUUAUAGUACCUGUGAAGAUGCAGGUUACCCGCGACAGGACGGAAAGACCCCGUGGAGCUUUACUGUAGCCUGAUAUUGAAUUUUGGUACAGUUUGUACAGGAUAGGCGGGAGCCAUUGAAACCGGAGCGCUAGCUUCGGUGGAGGCGCUGGUGGGAUACCGCCCUGACUGUAUUGAAAUUCUAACCUACGGGUCUUAUCGACCCGGGAGACAGUGUCAGGUGGGCAGUUUGACUGGGGCGGUCGCCUCCUAAAGUGUAACGGAGGCGCCCAAAGGUUCCCUCAGAAUGGUUGGAAAUCAUUCGUAGAGUGCAAAGGCAUAAGGGAGCUUGACUGCGAGACCUACAAGUCGAGCAGGGACGAAAGUCGGGCUUAGUGAUCCGGUGGUUCCGCAUGGAAGGGCCAUCGCUCAACGGAUAAAAGCUACCCCGGGGAUAACAGGCUUAUCUCCCCCAAGAGUCCACAUCGACGGGGAGGUUUGGCACCUCGAUGUCGGCUCAUCGCAUCCUGGGGCUGUAGUCGGUCCCAAGGGUUGGGCUGUUCGCCCAUUAAAGCGGUACGCGAGCUGGGUUCAGAACGUCGUGAGACAGUUCGGUCCCUAUCCGUCGUGGGCGUAGGAAAUUUGAGAGGAGCUGUCCUUAGUACGAGAGGACCGGGAUGGACGCACCGCUGGUGUACCAGUUGUUCUGCCAAGGGCAUAGCUGGGUAGCUAUGUGCGGAAGGGAUAAGUGCUGAAAGCAUCUAAGCAUGAAGCCCCCCUCAAGAUGAGAUUUCCCAUAGCGUAAGCUAGUAAGAUCCCUGAAAGAUGAUCAGGUUGAUAGGUUCGAGGUGGAAGCAUGGUGACAUGUGGAGCUGACGAAUACUAAUAGAUCGAGGACUUAACCAU